UACAAUCCAUAAAAAGCAGGAGCACUUCUCCAUAGUGGCAAAGUCCAUAUUUGAGACAUGGAUGAUGUUAUUUUUUAAAGUGGUGCCUACUCACAAUGGCCUGUUCACUGUUAUGUUUCUAUGGUGAAUUUCUUUCUGGUUUCAGGAAAAUUUGAGCCCCUUUACACAUUGCCAGCUUUUAAAGGAAAGGCAAAACUUCCCCUUCGGUGUAAUUAAUAUGUUUUUAUUACUUGUGGUACAAAUAAGAGGGGUGUCCCAUGAUGUUAAUGGAAACAGGGAGUUCUCUUAACUCUGCUUCAACCACUUGUAGAGGUUUUCUCCUCCAGCCCUCCACUGUGCUUUUGCAGGCAGCAGUGACCACAGUAUCCAUCUGUGUUGGAUUUUAAUGAGAGAGCAAUGAAGAAUACAGAAAAAAACCCUGAAUUAAUAAAAAAUUGAUCAGGUGUCAGUUCUUAGGCUAAUUCAGGUGGUGAGGGACCUCAGGAGGUCACCUCAGUCAGUCUCCAGCCCAAGCUGUUCUGUCAGUGUUUAUAAGACUUCUUAUUUCAGCACUCUAAAGUUCUGAACCUGGUUCUAACUCUACAUUCACUGAAGCUGUGGGGAUCUGGGUCCAUUUUAGUAGUUAGCAUUUCUUAAAUGUCUGUCCAAUCUGCCUGUGAAGGUUGCAUUCAAUUCCCUGUAACCUUUGAAGAGUUUUUAUUUGGUAUAGAUACAGCAAAGACAGACUUGUCUUCUCACUCAGCUCUGAAAGCUUUCAUUUUGUUUGACAACAUUUAUACUGAGCUUGGCUCAUUCUCUCACAAGGAGAAAGUAUGCAAACUUUACAUAGAAGUGGGCAGAAAAUUUGGCUACACUUGUUUGCUAUAGCAAACACCAACUCACAGAAAGGCAAACAUUAUACUGAUUUUGUUCAAACUUGGAGAAAACAUGUCUGGUGCCCAGUAUGGAAUUUUGGAUCAAAAUGACAAAGGAAAAUGCAGAAGCAACUGCAGUUUGAGACCCAGAGUAUUUAUAUGGAUGCUGCCUAUUUGCAUUUCUCAUCAUGUUUUAUUGUUUACUCCCACCAUCUCUCUCUCAGCCCUAUGAAUCAUACUUUCUCCAGGUGUAACACUUUUGAAAUGUCAAAUUUUUGUGGCUUGAAAGAAAAAAAAAAAAACCUCAUCAUUUCAAUCUGUACCACAUCUAGAUGUGAAACCUCAUCUUUCAUGGGCUGAAGUCCUGCUUCCAGAGAAGCAGCAUGUGGCUGGGCUGGUUUGAUGACCCUGUGCCAUCCCUGGAAUACAGUGGAGGAGACUGCUUAGAACAUUUUGUGCCACUCUGGAGUGAAUUCCUCAGCCAGGCUCUGCUCUGACACAUUUCCAUCCAUCCCCUGCAAUGCAUGUGGCAGCAGUAUUCCAUCUGUUUCUAAUGAGGCAUAGCGGGGGAGGAAAUCUUAUGCAUAAACAUCUCCCACAUCACUUAUGAUUCCAUUGAAGAACAUCUCUGCAACAGUAUUUGUUUGUGACAAAGAUUUUUAGCUAUUUGUUUAUUUUAAUACCUGUGGAUGUCAAACAGAAGAUAUUAGCCAGUUCCUAAACCUGGCAAAUUCCUUGGGUGAAAUUUUUCCUGUAUUUUGAGAGCCAAUUCCAGCACAAAUUCUUGUUGUAAAGGUCUUGCCCAUAUUUUCCAAAGUAUAGAUUAUAAUUUUGCAUGUACCUGUUCUAUUUUAGGGGUUAGGCAGUUGUAGCUAGAUUUAACUCUAAACAAAGAGCAAACUGUUCUUUAUUUAGCUCCAAUUAUAAACAUGUUAUAGCAAAAUAUAAAUGGAGAGCGAAACAAAGGAAUGAAAACUGCCACUUUGCAGAGGCAUUCUUUUAAAAUGUACAUUUCUUUGUAGGGAAGAGCACUGCAGUGUUUUUUUUUAGAGACAAAUAGUUUACUGUGAUGUGUAUGAAAUAGAAUUUUGAUAGACAGAAUAAGCUGCAAUCCAGUUCUAAACUAUAGAUUUUCAAGCAGAUUGAUGCAACAAAUUGUUAGCAAAUAGCAGUUUGCAAUUUGAUGCUAAUUAGACAUAAGGCAAAUAUGUGCCAUGACAAAUUAGCAGCAAACCAUACUGAAAAGGAUUAGCAAGAGCUGGCACAGAGACUGCUCGAUUUUGCAUACUUCCUUGUCUUAGUCUAGGAGGUCUGAGCCAGUUUUCCUUCUCUGUAAAUAAGAAACCAGAGCAGAGAUCACAGGCAUGCUAGAAUGCCUUUAAUUGCAUAUUUGAAAUGUUUUAACUCUCUCUUAAUCCCAUGGAGGCUUUUCUCCAUACCACCAGCUUUAUUAUCCUGGGAGAUGAUCAAGUACUUUAUCCAUUUAAUAUUAUAACUAAAUACAUUAUGAGGUAAGUAACUCACAGGGUUAUUUACUUUAGCAAGUCUAUUGUACUUAUAGAUUUAAGAAAAAGCCCCAUUCUUAUUCAAAACACCUUUGCUUAAUGUCCUGAAAACGUGUUUUUCAGCAGAUUUAAUUAUUCAUUUCCUUAAUAAAUUUAUUUUUGCUAGAGAAUUAUCACAUUUCUUUAUUAAUGUGCACAAUGCCAUUGUAGUAGUUAGUGUGGAUCAAACUCAUCACCAUAUCCAGACGAGAUAAUGCAGUUUUGUUUUCAAACCAGAGAGAAGCAGGAGGUGAUUUUUAAGUCAGUUCUUCAGACUUACACCUGAAUACCAGCACACCUAUAAGUAUGACUUUAGAACUAAAGCAAAAACUACUCUUGAAUCUUUGAAGGGUGAUGUAAUUUCACUAGGAUCAAGAAUGCUAAGGAAAAAUCACAGUAAAAAUACCUGUUUGUUAAAUUUAAGCAGCUUAUUUUUUAUGUGCCUAUUUUUUUGUUUACUUUUUUAAAAUUAAGAGUUUCUGAGGUAAACCAUCACAUUCCCUAAGCUUUCUACUCAUAUUUACUGGUGUGUACUUCAGUUUGGCUAUGUAAAAUGACAUGUUUAUACUUCAAGGAAUCAUUGGGUAGAUCAGAGGUUCUUCAGUACAGUUCCUCAUUCAAAUCUGACUUUCUAGGGCAUACAAGACAUUUGACUUACUAGGCUGAUGGUUGUUGUCUAAAAUUAUAUAUAUAUAUUAUAUUCCCAGCAUUCCUAUGUCUAUAUAUGGAUCAAAAAGAUUGUUAGAAAUAGUUCAAAGGUGCUAAAACAUUAUGUAGUUAGAUGUAAACACACAUUUCUGUUACCAAAAUAAAUGAAGUGGGAAAAUAAAAGCAUAUUAUGCAUAAAAGAUUGUUCUUUCAUAAGUCUUAGAGAGAAUUCCUCAGACAAUUUAAACCACAAUCAGUAACAAGUUUUGCCACAUCACUGUCUUCCCACACAAACAGUAUGAUAAUACACUAUUAAUGAUUUACAAAAAGGUGAUGAAAGUAGUUGUGCUGUUUAAAAAGAAAAAAGUGAAAACUCCAGGCUUUCCCUGCAGUUUCUGAAGGGAUCUCUAUAUUAUUCACAUGAAAAGCACUGUCCUGUAAAAGCUUCUGUGUGCACUGAGGCCUGGAAAAGAUGUUUCUGGUGUUGCCAGGCUGUCUCACUCAGUGUUUGCCUGCUCCCUUUUGCCAAUGUUUUUGCCACAUCACAUCAGAAAUUUGGGCAAUGAUCUUUAUGCUGGUGCAAAAUCUUAGAAAACUGAAUUGACUGCCCUCUGGGCACAAAGCUUUAUUUCCUUUUUGCUGUCCCUGCACAGACUCAUGGUGAAUUCUUGGUAAGCAGUUAUUUACCUGUAUUGAAAGAGUGUAGCAAGCCAUCAGCAGGUAAAUAUAGGCUGAAAAUUGUAAUAGUUAAAAGGGAUGUUGUUAAAAAUUUUAGGAUUACAUGCAACAUAUAAAUAGUUGUAAUUUCCAAAGGGCAAAUCAUUUCUAGUCAAGCCUUUCCACAUGGUAUCUUCCCUGACAAAAGCAUCACACAUUUUCUGCCCAUAAUGUUUCUCCCAAACACCCCCACUGCUCAAUUCAAUGACAGCUUUCCUGGCAGUGCCUGAGCAGAUUUUACAUUUUCCUGUAGAUGCAGUGUCAGCCCAGAUAGUGCCUGGGAGAGCUUUGCUGCUCGUGGCUGCUGUGGCAAAUCUUUGUGCUGCAGGACAGAUGUUCUGCACCGUGCAGGGGAUCUGGGUCAUGCAGCACCCACAGACUUGGAGCAAGUUGGAUGUUGGGAAUCUCCACUGGCCACAGCCACCUCCCAGUUCCAGGCCUUUUCACCAGCUAUCAUGGGAUUAAUAAGAUACAUUGUCCUCAGGAAAAUAUGUGCACUCAUGGAGAACCUCAUUGACAUUGCUGCAGAGAGACUUAAAACAUGUGCUAUCAAGGUGUGCCAAGAUAAGCCCAUGGGACUGUUAGAAAAAUCCAUAAUGAAAACAUCUGGAAACACCUCAGACUUCCACAGACUUGUCAGUGAUUAAUCCAAAGAUGGAACUUCAGAAAAAAAAGUGAAUACAGAAGAAAUCACAGCAGUUCAAGUAAAGACAUUUCCCUGCUGAAGCAGCUUAUCUGAUCAUGGCAUUAUUUCCGAAACUUGGAAGACAAAAGAGGAGGAGGCUGAGAACGUACUGAGGUUCACAGUGACAGGAAAAAAGUAAUGCUCAAACUGGAACUGGGGAGUAUCAGCCUGGAUUCAAGGAAAAAUAAAUUUUCUAAGAGGGCAAUUACCCUUUGGACCUCCAGAGUUGUGCACUCUCCAGUUUAUAUAGCUUUUCAAGACCCAAAUGGACAAAGCUGUGAGAAAUCUGAUCUGAGUUCUGGACUGACUUUGCUUUGAGCAACAGAUUGGUCUGAAGGUCCAGCAAGGUCCCUUCCAACUUGAGGGAAGCCACAGUUCUGUGGGAGCAUUGCUGGGGCUCUCUGCUAUAGCUUUAGUGAAUAUGUGUAGAGUGAUAAAGGUGAUCAGGUUUCUGGAGCAGCUUCCAUGUGAUGAAGGAGAUUUGACACUCUUCAGCCUGGAGUAGAAUCAACUGAGGGAGAAUUUGAUCGAGAUCUACAGGACUGGGAAUGACAUGAAAAAGUUCAAUGAGAGCCACUUGUGAAUUUCACUUCCUUUCCAAGGAAAAAGGUCAGGAAGAAAAGAGCUAUUGAUGAGGUAAGGUGUAUAUGCUAUACCUACACUUUUUCUUAAAUACCUGCUUUUUUCCUGGUAAUAUUUUAUUGCCGUCUCCUAUUCCCUGCAUAUGGAGAAUAGAUCUUGAAACAAAUAAGUUCACUCUGAUGUAGGGCUAGUGAGAAAUAUCUCCAAAUCUUGAUCUAGACCAUUUGUUUUGUAUUCCAACAUAUCAAGCAUACAAUUACUGUAACUAAAGUUAUAAACCUCAUAUGUGAGAGUGUUUUUAUGGGUCACUUAGGAUAAACUACUUAUACAAGCGCAAGUGCUUGUGUAGGCCCUUUUCUACAUGCAUCAGAAGGUGAACUCAGUUUGAACAAUGAAAGAGAGCGCCCUGCACUCCAGCCCUCUCUCAAAUGGAUAAUUCUGGUGAUCCUUCUGACAGCCAUGCUUUAGAUUUUGAUUUAUGUUCUUCUAAAGCUAAAAUCAAAGAUUCCAUCUAGUGCUAUUUUAUGGCAGCUGAGAUGAUGAAUGGCGGAGUCUUUCAGCCAAACGAAGCUGCUGUGUCUUUGCCCUGGAUUUUAAUUGCUAAAGUAGCCAGUCAUUGCUCAGAAUUCAAUGGUAAGCAGACUUUAGAAACUGUGGAGAUGGCCCUC